UACGUAGGGGGCAAGCGUUGUCCGGAAUCAUUGGGCGUAAAGAGCUCGUAGGUGGCGUGUCGCGUCUGCCGUGAAAGCCCAUGGCUUAACUGUGGGUCUGCGGUGGAUACGGGCAGGCUGGAGGCUGGUAGGGGCAAGCGGAAUUCCUGGUGUAGCGGUGAAAUGCGCAGAUAUCAGGAGGAACACCGGUGGCGAAGGCGGCUUGCUGGGCCAGUUCUGACGCUGAGGAGCGAAAGCGUGGGGAGCGAACAGG
rnacentral:rRNA from 1 species